GGGACAAGCCGGACCACCCUGUAGCUCGCCAUUGUUGCUGUCUUCCCCUGCGUGCGCGCUCCUCUGCCCCGCCUCAUCGUCGACGCUCCGGUCCAGCCUCGGCCUCCCCGACCUCUCCAUCAGCCUCGUUAUGUUGGAGCCUAGGAGGCAAACACCACCAUUGACGACGACCCCUACUACUACGUGUUGGCCGCCGACGACCAGGAGUAGUUUAGGAGGACCCCAGGCAGGAGGCAUGCUCCUCUUUCGAUCUGUAUCCCAGUUUGUUCUAGCCAUCUUAUGACAACUUGUUUAACUUAUGUAUGUACUCAGAUAUUGUUGCUUCCACUGACUCGUUUAUAUUCAAGCUCUUGUAUUCGAGCCCUCGAGGCCCAUGGCUUGUAAUAUGAUGCCU
rnacentral:rRNA from 1 species